rnacentral:ncRNA from 1 species
UGGCUAGAGUGGUCCACAUGCCAAACUGUAAGGUAGGUGUCCUAAGGCCAGCUCAGGGAGGAUGGAAACCUCCAGUAGAGGAGAAGGGCAAAAGAUUUCUUGAUCUUGACUUUCAGUACAAAUACAGACUGUGAAAGCAGGGCCUCAUCAUCCUUCUGACUUUCUGAG